UUCCCCUCCUUCCUAGGCGCCGCCCCUCUCCUCCCCUUCCUCCCAUGGCGCCGCCCUGCUCCUCCCCUUCCUCCUCAAAAUCUCUGCUGCUGCCGCGGAUGGCAGCGACAAAGACGACGAAGUGGCUGCUGUGGAGGUCGGCUUGUGCGGCGCGGCGUCUGUCGAGGCAGGGGCAGUGAUUGCAAGGGAAGACGGCGCCGGCGAGGUCUGGGGCUGGCGCUCGGGAGGCUGCGACGAGCUGCCGGAGCAGGGUGGCGGCGGAGUCCAGGAGUGUGGUGCUCUACGGGCUUCUUGUGGGUGCGGGUGUGGCGCCGCGACUGAAACGAGGUGGCUGUGAUCUCGUGCUGCUGCAUCUUCUGUUGCUACGAGCUAGUACAUCUGUGGGACUUUGAGCGACGGUUACAUGGUGUGUAGCUGCUGAAAAAUGUGAAUGAUUGCUUGGGAAAUUGGGGAUCAACUGAUGUAGCUGCUGGACAAUGCUAAUAUGCUUAGCUUGUUGGAUUCGGAGACAGCGACGGUCGGUCCUGCGUUGCCCCUGUUGUUCGCUUGUUCGAUUCAAUCUACACAAACGCAGACUUUUCUAUACUGUAACUAUGCUUUUCUUUUACAUUAAGGACGGAGGAGACAUAUUUGUCUAGUUGGAUAUGAUCAUCGGAAAGUUGCACACAUA